rnacentral:rRNA from 1 species
UACGUAGGGUGCGAGCGUUAAUCGGAAUACUGGGCGUAAAGCGUGCGCAGGCGGUUUUGUAAGCCAGGUGUGAAAUCCCCGGGCUCAACCUGGGAAUGGCAUUUGGGACUGCAAGGCUGGAGUGUGGCAGAGGAGACUGGAAUUCCUGGUGUAGCAGUGAAAUGCGUAGAUAUCAGGAGGAACACCUGUGGCGAAAGCGGCUCACUGGACCACAACUGACGCUGAGGCGCGAAAGCUAGGGGAGCAAACAGG